GGGAAUAUUGCGCAAUGGAGGAAACUCUGACGCAGUGACGCCGCGUGCAGGAAGAAGGUUUUCGGAUUGUAAACUGCUUUAGACAGGGAAGAAACAAGACAGUACCUGUAGAAUAAGCUCCGGCUAACUACGUGCCAGCAGCCGCGGUAAUACGUAGGUGGCAAGCGUUAUCCGGAUUUAUUGGGUGUAAAGGGCGUGUAGGCGGGAGCGCAAGUCAGAUGUGAAAACUCAGGGCUCAACCCUGGGCCUGCAUUUGAAACUGUGUUUCUUGAGUGCUGGAGAGGCAAUCGGAAUUCCGUGUGUAGCGGUGAAAUGCGUAGAUAUACGGAGGAACACCAGUGGCGAAGGCGGAUUGCUGGACAGUAACUGACGCUGAGGCGCGAAAGCGUGGGGAGCAAACAGG
rnacentral:rRNA from 1 species